rnacentral:rRNA from 1 species
ACGAACCUCUAGUGUACCGGUUGUCGCGCCAGCGGCAUCGCCGGGUAGCUACGUUGGGAAGGGAUAAGCGCUGAAAGCAUCUAAGUGCGAAACCCAUUUCAAGAAUAGGACACGCUUCAUUUUUGAACUGAAGGCUCCUUGAAGACUACGAGGUCGAUAGGCCGUAGGUGGAAGCGCAGUAAUGUGUGCAGCCGAGCGGUACUAAUAAGCCGUGAGACUUGACCUUCUUUAU